AGUGAACGCUGGCGGUAGGCCUAACACAUGCAAGUCGAACGGCAGCACAGUAAGAGCUUGCUCUUACGGGUGGCGAGUGGCGGACGGGUGAGGAAUACAUCGGAAUCUACUUUUUCGUGGGGGAUAACGUAGGGAAACUUACGCUAAUACCGCAUACGACCUACGGGUGAAAGCAGGGGAUCUUCGGACCUUGCGCGAUUGAAUGAGCCGAUGUCGGAUUAGCUAGUUGGCGGGGUAAAGGCCCACCAAGGCGACGAUCCGUAGCUGGUCUGAGAGGAUGAUCAGCCACACGGGAACUGAGACACGGUACAGACUCCUACGGGAGGCAGCAGUGGGGAAUAUUGGACAAUGGGCGCAAGCCUGAUACAGCCAUACCGCGUGGGAGAAGAAGGCCUUCGGGUUGUAAAGCCCUUUUGUUGGGAAAGAAAAGCAGCAGGUUAAUACCCCGCUGUUCUGACGGUACCCAAAGAAUAAGCACCGGCUAACUUCG
rnacentral:rRNA from 1 species